rnacentral:tRNA from 1 species
UACACCUUAUUAUACGAUGUAUGCGGAUUUUUGAUAUCUGAGGGAGUAGUUUAAUUCUACUAGGUGUAA